rnacentral:rRNA from 1 species
GGCUCAGGACGAACGCUGGCGGCGUGCUUAACACAUGCAAGUCGAACGAUGAACCGACAGCUUGCUGUUGGGGAUUAGUGGCGAACGGGUGAGUAACACGUGAGUAACCUGCCCUCUUCUCUGGGAUAAGCGCUGGAAACGGCGUCUAAUACUGGAUAUUCAGACCUUGUCGCAUGGUGGGGUUUGGAAAGAUUUAUCGGUGGGGGAUGGACUCGCGGCCUAUCAGCUUGUUGGUGGGGUGAUGGCCUACUAAGGCGACGACGGGUAGCCGGCCUGAGAGGGUGACCGGCCACACUGGGACUGAGACACGGCCCAGACUCCUACGGGAGGCAGCAGUGGGGAAUCUUGCACAAUGGGCGCAAGCCUGAAUGCAGCGACGCCGCGUGGAGGGAUGACGGCCGUUCGGGUUGUAAACCUUCUUUCAGUAGGGAAGAAGUCCGUUUCGGGGUGACGGUACCUGCAGAAGAAGCGCCGGCUAACUACGUGCCAGCCGCCGC